rnacentral:rRNA from 1 species
ACUCAAAUGAAUAGACGGGGGCCCGCACAAGCGGUGGAGCAUGUGGUUCAAUUCGACGCAACGCGAAGAACCUUACCUAGGCUCGAAAUGCUUUGGACCAUCCCUGGAAACAGGGACUUUUCGCAAGAAACUGAAGUAUAGGUGCUGCAUGGCUGUCGUCAGCUCGUGUCGUGAGAUGUUGGGUUAAGUCCCGCAACGAGCGCAACCCUUGUCCUGUGUUGCCAUUCCGCAAGGAGGAACUCGCAGGAGACCGCCAGGGAUAACCUGGAGGAAGGUGGGGAUGACGUCAAGUCCUCAUGGCCUUUAUGUCUAGGGCUACACACGUGCUACAAUGGACGGUACAGAGGGUCGCCAACCCGCGAGGGGGAGCCAAUCCCAAAAAACCGUUCUCAGUUCGGAUUGCAGGCUGCAACUCGCCUGCAUGAAGCUGGAAUCGCUAGUAAUGCCGGAUCAGAACGCUGGCGUGAAUACGUUCCCGGGCCUUGUACACACCGCCCGU